rnacentral:rRNA from 1 species
CACGUAGGGUGCGAGCGUUGUCCGGAAUUAUUGGGCGUAAAGAGCUCGUAGGCGGUGUGUCGCGUCGGCCGUGAAAACCUGCAGCUUAACUGUGGGCUUGCGGUCGAUACGGGCAUCACUGGAGUUCGGCAGGGGAGACUGGAAUUCCUGGUGUAGCGGUGAAAUGCGCAGAUAUCAGGAGGAACACCGGGUGGCGAAGGCGGGUCUCUGGGCCAACACUGACGCUCAUGCACGAAAGCGUGGGGAGCAAACAGG